UACAGAGGUGGCAAGCGUUGUUCGGAAUUACUGGGCGUAAAGGGCUCGUAGGUGGCCAACUAAGUCAGACGUGAAAUCCCCGAGCUCAACUCGGGAACUGCGUCCGAUACUGGUGGGCUUGAAUCCGGGAGAGGGAUGCGGAAUUCCAGGUGUAGCGGUGAAAUGCGUAGAUAUCUGGAGGAACACCGGUGGCGAAGGCGGCAUCCUGGACCGGCAUUGACGCUGAGGCGCGAAAGCUAGGGGAGCAAACGGG
rnacentral:rRNA from 1 species